rnacentral:rRNA from 1 species
GAUGAACGCUGGCGGCGUGCCUAAUACAUGCAAGUCGAGCGAACAGACGAGGAGCUUGCUCCUCUGACGUUAGCGGCGGACGGGUGAGUAACACGUGGAUAACCUACCUAUAAGACUGGGAUAACUUCGGGAAACCGGAGCUAAUACCGGAUAAUAUAUUGAACCGCAUGGUUCAAUAGUGAAAGACGGUUUUGCUGUCACUUAUAGAUGGAUCCGCGCCGCAUUAGCUAGUUGGUAAGGUAACGGCUUACCAAGGCAACGAUGCGUAGCCGACCUGAGAGGGUGAUCGGCCACACUGGAACUGAGACACGGUCCAGACUCCUACGGGAGGCAGCAGUAGGGAAGCUUCCGCAAUGGGCGAAAGCCUGACGGAGCAACACCGCGUGAGUGAUGAAGGUCUUCGGAUCGUAAAACUCUGUUAUUAGGGAAGAACAAAUGUGUAAGUAACUAUGCACGUCUUGACGGUACCUAAUCAGAAAGCCACGGCUAACUACGUG